GCGUUGUCCGGAAUCAUUGGGCGUAAAGGGCGCGUAGGUGGCUCGGUCAGUUCGUGGUGAUAGCGCGGGGCUCAACCCUGCGUCGGCCAUGAAUACUGCUGGGCUUGAGCACUGUAGAGGCAGGCGGAAUUCCGGGUGUAGCGGUGGAAUGCGUAGAGAUCCGGAAGAACACCGGUGGCGAAGGCGGCCUGCUGGGCAGUUGCUGACACUGAGGCGCGACAGCGUG
rnacentral:rRNA from 1 species